rnacentral:misc_RNA from 1 species
AUAAAUACCAGGGGCGGCGAUUGGGUGGUCGCCAUCGUCAGAAUACCCAUAGACUACUUCUCUAUUAAAAAUAAAAUAUCUUCGCCUGACGUAUCAAAAGACCCAUCCAUAGAAUUGCUAUGCCUAUGACGUGGCUCAGAACCCAUCAGUUUCUUCUCCGUCGGCACACCACCAAAAUCCAGUCCAUCGAAAAAAUCAGCAUCAACAGAUAGACUACGGUAGUGAGCCAGCGGCUUAGGGUAAUCGGAAGGUCCAGCCGACAACGCUGGUCCAGUAGACGAAGAAUCAGGCGAAUUAGCCGGCUGCAUGAGGGUCGGAGCCUGAACAUCGAGACUGAAGUCAGAAACGACAUCGUCUAAAAGCAUAUCAUCAUCAAAACUGGGAAAACGGAAAAAGGUUUCGGAUUGUGCACGGCGGUGGCGUGCCCCGCGGGUUGGAGUAUCCUGCAUCUGUUCGAGGUUAGUUUGACCGGAAUAAAAUUGGGCCUGAAUGGGCUUUCCGGCGAACUUAGCGUCCAUCAGAAAUGAAUGGGACCCAUUGUUCGUUUGUUUGUUUGGAAGAAGAAGAAUAAGGAAAGUGAAUUUUGGUGGCGGCUGAAAGAGUGAGUAUAUAGAGCUUUAC